rnacentral:rRNA from 1 species
UACAGAGGUGGCAAGCGUUGUUCGGAAUUACUGGGCGUAAAGGGCGCGUAGGCGGCCUCUUUAGUCAGACGUGAAAUCCCCCGGCUUAACCUGGGAACUGCGUCUGAUACUGGGAGGCUAGAGUUCGGGAGAGGGAUGUAGAAUUCCAGGUGUAGCGGUGAAAUGCGUAGAUAUCUGGAGGAAUACCGGUGGCGAAGGCGGCAUCCUGGACCGAAACUGACGCUGAUGCGCGAAAGCUAGGGGAGCAAACAGG